rnacentral:rRNA from 1 species
UACGGGAGGCAGCAGUGGGGAAUAUUGCACAAUGGGCGCAAGCCUGAUGCAGCCAUGCCGCGUGUAUGAAGAAGGCCUUCGGGUUGUAAAGUACUUUCAGUCGUGAGGAAGGUGUUAAGGUUAAUAACCUUAGCAAUUGACGUUAGCGACAGAAGAAGCACCGGCUAACUCCGUGCCAGCAGCCGCGGUAAUACGGAGGGUGCGAGCGUUAAUCGGAAUUACUGGGCGUAAAGGGCACGCAGGCGGUUAAUUAAGUUGGAUGUGAAAUCCCCGGGCUUAACCUGGGAAUGGCAUUCAAGACUGGUUAGCUAGAGUCUUGUAGAGGGGGUAGAAUUCCAUGUGUAGCGGUGAAAUGCGUAGAGAUGUGGAGGAAUACCGGUGGCGAAGGCGGCCCCUGGACAAAGACUGACGCUCAUGUGCGAAGCGUGGGGAGCAAACAGGGUAUUAGACU